GGAAGGAAACAAAGCUUAAGGCAGUGAUUGAUAGGUUAUUUCUUGGACACAGCUGAACGUAUACUGUGCGCCUGCAACUUUCCGGUGGUUUCGGACCGGACUUCAGUGAAGCCAGUGAAGUCGGUCGACUUGCAGAACUUCCUUUCAGAGGGGCAUACACAGCACCGCGGCCGUGUGCCUGUGAUCUCCUUCUGGGUUUGAAAAAGAAGAUCCUAGACACCGAGCCAAAUAUGUUUGCAUAAACCGGGAGACUUGUGGCUCUUUUUUGUAACAGCUUGGCGCAGGGCAGCUGGUUUGGAGAUGUCUCUGUUCUUCCCUUGGUGGGGGUGCCGGAAAAAAUGUGCUGCCUGGGCGAUCGAGGUUGGGGCAAAAGCGUUGCAAAGGAAACGGUGGGAGGACUCUACUUUCACACUUCCCAAAAGAGUUUUACCAUAAGACUAUUUCUGGAUUGUUCUAACGUGAGGAUAUUGGGAGCAUUUUGAAAAUACUGGAGGAAAAGCUGUCACUGGGAGAUUUAAAUCCGAUUCCCCUUGUCGGCAAAGCCAGGCGCUGAUAGCAUUAUGGCUGCCAUGAGAGUCAGCAGUAUCCCAGCUUCCAAGGAUGGGUGUAAGGUGGGGGUGAGGAAGAAAGGGAACUUGAAGCUGCCUCCUGUCCCAGAAUCACAAGACAUCUGUUAAGCCCUUACUACCUCAUUCACUCCACUCACAUUAGGUUGACCCACUUGGGCAGCAAGACAAGCAGGCCUGCAAACUUCCUUUUCUUCAUCAGCCACAGCGACAUCCUUAGCUAUUAUUCUGGAUUAAGGCAGAGAUCUCCAAACAGCAGACUAAGAUCAGUCUCUAGAUCUCAAAGCCUUACUGGUAUCUCUCCAAGUCAGUGGCUGAUCUCAGAGAAGCUUCUGAAUAGUGACUAGCAAAGAGUCACUCAGGCUACUUACACAUCCAGGACAGCAGCGGACUCCCGGAUGUCAUGCAUCAGCCCUAUGAGAGCCUUGCCUCUUCUUCAACACACCUGUGUUUCACCGCUGUCCUUUGAUCAGGAGUCCUGUCUGGCAAAGGUGCAAAGCCCCCUACAUCUCUUCCUCUCAAAACCUGCUGCCCAACCCACCAAGUCUGACUCAAAUAGGCCCUUCAUAGGGCUAUGUUGAGCAAGCUGCAUUCAUUAGGCCAUUAAGAACAUUAAAGCACAAAAGACGUUCUAAUGGGUGACAGAUGAAUGCUCAUCCUGGUAACUGUAAACAUCUGUCCAGGGCCUGAGCUCAGAAAGCAGAAUCCAUUGUGGAACAUGUCCAACUCCUACCCCAAGAGCAGCUUCCAUGUUUACCUACUGACUGGGCUAACACACAGGCAGGCAGCUCUGAGCUCUGAGCACCUCAGCAUCCUUGGACUCUGAGCUAGCGUGGUCACAUUUCGUGGGGACAGAGUUCCCCAGCCCUUACCCUGCAGUCUUGCUUCUGAUAGGGAAACCUUGAGCUCGUAGUGACUGUGGGGCUGGCUCUCCAGGACAAGCCCCUCCAGUGGAGCCAGGAACCAGGAUGGAAGGUUGGGUUUGGGGGCGGACUGAUGGCCUGGAGUUCACUGCCACCUAUUUUCUUUUCCUCUUUUUCCAUCUCACCCAGAGCUGAGGGAAGAGGCCUUGACAACAGGUGAGAUUUGGGGCACCUGACUGUGACGUCAACCCAGCAGGUAGGGUUGGCCCAAAGCAGUUCCCCAGCUUGUCCUCUCAGGUCCUCUGGACACCCUUCCCAAGCACACAUAACCCUGGACCUUCACAGCUCCCACACCACCAUCCACACCUAAAUAUAUAUUCUUUAUCCUGGAAUCUCCUAUCUCCUUUGAGUCCUGUUAAAUAAACCAUGAUGUGAAUGGUUAGUAAUGAAGUUUUUGCCCCCUUUCUAGACAAGUAUUUGUACUUGUAACCAUAACUUUCAAUGCCUUUAUUCAGCGAUAAGAGUACGGAAUUAAUUCCAAGUUCAUUCAAGUUUACAGGCAGGCUGGGGAGGAGGAGCAACUUCCUAUUCAGUGGUGCUGCUUCCUUCGCUGGGCAAUUUGCUGGCAUUGCCCUCUGUCGUCCUAAGGCGAUGGACCUUGUUGCUAUGUAAGGGAAGUCCUUACCCAGAAGGCUGAGAGGAACAGAAUUUCCAAGGACAAAACACUUGCCAAGAAGCCCAGCUUCACAAAUUUCCUCUAUUUAUCAACCCCUUGGUACACAGUUG
rnacentral:lncRNA from 1 species